rnacentral:rRNA from 1 species
GAUGAACGCUGGCGGCGUGCCUAAUACAUGCAAGUCGAGCGAACGGACGAGAAGCUUGCUUUUCUGAUGUUAGCGGCGGACGGGUGAGUAACACGUGGAUAACCUACCUAUAAGACUGGGAUAACUUCGGGAAACCGGAGCUAAUACCGGAUAAUAUUUUGAACCGCAUGGUUCAUAAGUGAAAGACGGUCUUGCUGUCACUUAUAGAUGGAUCCGCUCUGCAUUAGCUGGUUGGUAAGGUAACGGCUUACCAAGGCAACGAAGCAUAGCCGACCUGAGAGGGGGAUCGGCCACACUGGAACUGAGACACGGUCCAGACUCCUACGGGAGGCAGCAGUAGGGAAUCUUCCGCAAAGGGCGAAAGCCUGACGGAGCAAGGCCGCGUGAGUGAUGAAGGUCUUCGGAUCGUAAAACUCUGUUAUUAGGGAAGAACAUAUGUGUAAGUAACUGUGCACAUCUUGACGGUACCUAAUCAGAAAGCCACGGCUAACUACGUG